rnacentral:pre_miRNA from 1 species
GGAAACAAGAAGAGAAGUCGGUCUAAAUGCUCAAAAAAGCUUAUGUCAGUAGUUUCAUUGGAAAUGUCAUGUUUGUAAUUGUAAUUGUUUAUAUACCUGUCAAUAGUUUACUUUGACUUACUGGAAAUAAAGUUUGUUUUUUGGGAUAUUUUCUAUGUGUGUCUC